rnacentral:tRNA from 1 species
AAAGGGAGACCAAACCCAUUAGACUCCGAAACAUUUUGGAAUAAGAGCUAAUGAGGUCAUCCUAGGUCGGAACGAGGGGCUGACUAUUAAUGCUUUCAAACUAGAGUUCAGGUUAAACCCGAAAAAAAAACUGAAUCGACAAAGGGGCUAUUAGCUCAGGUGGUUAGAGCGCACCCCUGAUAAGGGUGAGGUCCCUGGUUCAAGUCCAGGAUGGCCCAUCAUUAUAUUCUUGUCGAAAACCCGAACGAGUCUCUAGCACCGUUGCCCUCAGCAGCGACUGCUGGACCCUUAAGUUCAGCAUCAGAACCUUGAAAACUGCAUAGUGAAAACAGAAAAGAAGUGAGAACUUCAAAAACAACCUCAAAAUAACUCAAACUCAAAAGUUAUUCAAAAAGAGGGAGUUCAGAAGACUCACAAACAAUCCUAAAUUAAGUUAGUGAACUUAGA